AUGGCGGCGGUGUUAGCGGCGCAUGGCUCCCACGUUUCGGCUUCGAUCAUUGCAGGUUUUGGAAGUGCUCUGAGAGGAAUACCAAAAGGAUUUUGUCCUUGUUUUUACAAUAUCCAAGCAUCAAUAUAUAAUGGACUUGUUCAUAGGAGGAAAAUUCCUCUUCCGUUGAGAUGCUCUUUUCGCUCUAUUCAAGCAAGAAAUAAUCACUCAUCAUCAGCUGUUGUACCUAAAGAUUAUUGUGAAACUUACAUCCAAUUUUUGAGAGACAAACGGAUAGUUCCUGAUUCAGAUCCUCCAAGCUCUAAGGAUGUGGACCUACUGUACCGGUUUAUAGAUAAGAGUAACAAGCUCAUGGUAUUAACUGGAGCUGGAAUGAGCACCGAGUCAGGAAUUCCCGAUUAUCGGAGUCCUAAUGGAGCAUACAGUUCUGGUUUCAAACCACUUACUCAUCAGGAGUUUGUUCGCUCUAUUCGAGCCCGGCGGCGCUACUGGGCCAGGAGUUAUGCUGGAUGGAGAAGGUUCAAGCGAGCACAACCAAAUACAGCUCACUAUGCUCUUGCUUCACUAGAAAGAAUCGGCCGUGUUCACACGAUGGUUACCCAGAAUGUGGAUAGAUUACAUCAUCGUGCUGGUAGUAAGCCAAUUGAGUUGCAUGGAAGUGUAUAUGAGGUAAUUUGCUUAGAUUGUGGAACAUCCAUCAGCCGAGAGUCAUUCCAAGAACAAGUGAAGGACCUCAACCCAAAGUGGGCUCUAGCUAUUGACAGUUUGGAAGAGGGACAACCUGGCUCGAGCAGAAGUUUUGGUAUGCAGCAGCGACCUGAUGGUGAUAUUGAGAUUGAUGAGAAGUUCUGGGAGCAAGAUUUUGACAUUCCUAGUUGCAGUCAGUGUGGUGGAGUGCUAAAACCUGAUGUUGUGAUGUUUGGUGAUAAUGUUCCGAGAGAGAGAGCUGAUAGCGCUAAGGAGGCUGCUAGAAACUGUGAUGCUCUUCUGGUGGUUGGUUCAGCGGUAAUGACAAUGUCUGCUUUUAGGCUGGCAAGGCUUGCACAUGAAGCAAAUGCUCCAAUCGUCGCGAUUAACAUUGGGGGCACGAGAGUUGAUAGCAUUAUAUCUUUGAAAAUCAAUGCGAGAUGUGGGGAGAUACUUCCCAGAGUACUUCAGAUGGGAAGUCUAGCUGUACCAAGCAUAAGCUGA
rnacentral:rRNA from 1 species